UCCGGCGUAGCUCAGCUGGUAGAGCAAGCGGCUGUUAACCGCUCGGUCGUAGGUUCGAGUCCUACCGCCGGAGCCA
rnacentral:tRNA from 1 species